ensembl:miRNA
CAGAAAGUCGGCGUUGCCUAGGAACAAGAUCUUCUGGGAGCUGUAGUCCAUGUCCCCAGGCCCUGGGAGUGUCCUGCGCUGGAGGUGGGGACUACACCUCUCAGAAGGCUCUGCAGCAGCGCGUGGGGCAUCUGAGGGCAC